AUUGAACGCUGGCGGUAUGCUUUACACAUGCAAGUCGAACGGCAGCGCGGGGCAACCUGGCGGCGAGUGGCGAACGGGUGAGUAAUAUAUCGGAACGUACCCAGAAGUGGGGGAUAACGUAGCGAAAGUUACGCUAAUACCGCAUACGAUCUACGGAUGAAAGUGGGGGACCUUCGGGCCUCAUGCUUGUGGAGCGGCCGAUAUCUGAUUAGCUAGUUGGUAGGGUAAAGGCUUACCAAGGCGACGAUCAGUAGCUGGUCUGAGAGGACGACCGGCCACAGGGGGACGGACACACGGCCCAGACCCCACGGGGAGGAAGCGUGGGGGAAUUUUGGAAAAUGGGCGAAAGCUUGAUCCAGAAAUGCGGCGGGAGUGAGGAAGGCCUUCGGGUUUUAAAGCUUUUUUGUCAGGGAAGAAACGGUGCGGACUAAUAUUCUGCGCUAAGGAGGGUACCUAAAAAAUAAGCACCGGCUAACUACGUGCAAGCCGCCGCGGUAA
rnacentral:rRNA from 1 species